GAAAUGCGAUAAGUAAUGCGAAUUGCAGAAUUUCCGUGAGUCAUCGAAUCUUUGAACGCACAUUGCGCCCAUUGGUAUUCCGAUGGGCAUGCCUGUUCGAGCGUCAUUUGUACCCUCAAGCUCUGCUUGGUGUUGGGUGUUUGUCCCCGUCUCCGCGCGUGGACUCGCCCCAAAGUGAUUGGCAGCCGGCGUACUGGUCCCGGAGCGCAGCACAUGUCGCGCAAACGAGUGCCUUGGUACGGCGGCGUCCAUAAGCCCCUCUCUCACGCUCUUGACCUCGGAUCAGGUAGGGAUACCCGCUGAACUUAAGC
rnacentral:misc_RNA from 1 species